rnacentral:lncRNA from 1 species
GGCCUGAAGGAGUGAUGAAAGUUAGUCCUUCCCCAGGGAGGAACUCUGAGCAGCCCAUAUUUUUUAUCUUUUAAGUCUGGAAAGGAGAAUGGCCUGAUGUAACAUUUUACACAUUACAAUCAAUGAGUAAUAGUUUGGUUGAUGACAGGUUUUACUGAAGACCUUAGUUAUACAUGGUCUCCCACACAACUUUGCUCUGACCAAGGACUCAAUUUAUAGUGAAUCAACAAAGGCAAUGGGUUCAUACUCAGUUAUUUGUUGAUCUUGACAUAUUCCCUACAAUCCUGAAGCAGCUGGUUCUAUAGAAAAACCUACUGAAGAUUAACUUACGGUGCUAGCUGGCACAUAGGUACACUGCAAAGUACUCUAUGCAAGUUUUCAAUUUUAUGCUCUUGGACCAAUUUAUGGUGCUUUUCCUGGUUAGAGUACACGAACCUUAGAACCAAGGAAUAUAAAUAACUACACCUAACAACUAAUGCAGAAUUUUUGCUUCUAUUCAUGUGACCCUGGGUCCCGUUGGUUAGAACCUCAAACACUCAAGGGUUGAAUGUGAUUGUAGGGAAACAAAACAAUAGUCCCACUGAAUUGGAAAUUGUGAUUAUGAGCAGCCAGCAGCCACCGCACCUGCAAGACCACAGGAUGGUAACAAACCCGCUGAGACUAGUCAACCUCAAUCUAGCACAGGGGGUUACAACCAGCCCAGCCUAGGAUAUGGACAGUUAUCUAACAGUUAUCCCCAGGUACCUGGGAGCUACCCCACGCAGCCAGUCACAGCACCACCAUCUUAUCCUCCUACCAGCUACUCCUCUACACAGCCGACUAGUUAUGAUCAGAGCAGUUACUCUCAGCAGAACACCUAUGGGCAGCCGAGCAGCUAUGGACAGCAGAGUAGCUAUGGUCAACAAAGCAGCUAUGGGCAGCAGCCACCCACUAGUUAUCCCCCCCAAACUGGAUCCUACAGCCAGGCUCCAAGUCAAUAUAGCCAACAGAGCAGCAGCUACGGGCAGCAGAGUUCAUUCCGACAGGACCACCCCAGUAGCAUGGGUGUUUAUGGGCAGGAGUCUGGAGGAUUUUCCGGACCAGGAGAGAACCGGAGCAAGAGUGGCCCUGAUAACCGGGGCAGGGGAAGAGGGGGAGACCUGA